GGUGUCCUCACCGCCCGCCCCCCGCAACUACAUUGGAGAGGCGCUCCCCUGCCCUCUUCCAGGGAACUUCCUUCUCCAUCAGGGCCAAGUCUGAGACUGAGCUAGCCUUCCAAGAGUAGAGCUGCAGUAUGCUUCAACCUGUGAUCUCCGUUAACAAGGCCACUGGCUUGACUAUUGCAGGAGAGCCUGAUAAGAUGUGACCCCACCUCUUUGCUGUGAGAGCUCCUCUCCACCACUUCGUCCCAGGUGACCUGGGUACAGUGUACACCAAGAGAUCAUGAGACAUGCAUGCCAAGUGGGGGAGCUGAUGUCAAUCCACACAUAAAAGUUUAUAGGACAGGUAAAGACACCUAACCAGAUCCUGCUGUCAUCUACAUUGACAAGCCAUGGAAGGAAAUAGAGUGCCAGCAGCAGACCCAGUUUGCCUGACAUCUGACUGUACAGUGUACUCAUGUCUUAAGGGUGACUGCAUGGAUUAUGUCUAAGCGUGCAUUAGUUUGCUCAGCUGCCAUAACAAAAUACCACAUACUGGGUGGCUUAAACAACAGAAAUUUAUUUUCUCACAGUUCUGGAGGCUAGAAGUAUAGGCUCAAGGUGCCAGCAUGGUCAAGUUCUAGUGAGGGCUGUCUUCCUGGCUUGCCGAUGGCUGCCUUCUGGCUGUGUGUUCACAAGAGGGGGCCAUUUCUGGGGCGGGAUACAAGAGGAAGAGAGACAGUUCUCUCUUCCUUAUCUUAUAAGGCCAUCGUCCUUUCAACUUAGGGCCCCAUGCUUGUGACCUCAUUUAACUUUAUUUCCCUCCUAAAGGCCUUAUCCCAGAAACAGUCACAUCGUGAGUUAGGGCUUUUACAUACUCAUUUUGAUGGGCUACAAUUCAGUCUAUAACAAAGUGUCACUAAGGUACCACAGUCUAAUGGCCAAAGAGAAUGGGACAUGAUUAAACUUUAACAGGCUUCUAAACUUCAAUAGUUUGUUUUCCUGAAGGACCUCCCACAUUUUCCCCUUUCUGAUGACAGUUACAUCUGGUUAUGAAGUUUCCCUCUGGGCCUUAGUACCAAGGAGCUCUGAUCCCCAGCCCCAUCCCAGUAACUAACGUGGUCCUUAUUAGUGGAAUUGUUGCCGUCUACCCUGUUUUCAUUUGUCCCUUUUUGUUAGCCCAACCCCCCGACCCCCAGGUAAAGUAGAACUAAACAAGUAGACAA
rnacentral:lncRNA from 1 species